GUUACACAUUGUCUCUCAGUAACACGGUUACACAUUGUCUCUCAGUAACACAGUUACACAUUGUCUCUCAGUAACACGGUUACACAUUGUCUCUCAGUAACACAGUUACACAUUGUCUCUCAGUAACACGGUUACACAUUGUCUCUCAGUAACACAGUUACACAUUGUCUCUCAGUAACACAGGUACACAUUGUCUCUCAGUAACACGGUUACACAUUGUCUCUCAGUAACACGGUUACACAUUGUCUCUCAGUAACACGGUUACACAUUGUCUCUCAGUAACACAGUUACAGAGCAUCCGGAAAGUUUUCAGACCCCUUGACCUUUUCCACACUUCGUUACGUCACAGCCUUUUAUUAUGAAAUAGAUUAAAUCGUUAUUUUCAAUCAUUAAUCGACACACAAUACCCCAUAAUGACAUCACAAUACCCCAUAAUGACAUCACAAUACCCCAUAAUGACAUCACAAUACCCCAUAAUGACAAAGCAAAAAACUUUUUUUUAGAAAUGUUUGCAAAUGUAUUACAAAUAAAAAGCUAAUAUCACAUUUACAUCAGUAUUCAGAAGCUUUACUCAGUACUUUGUUGAAGCACGUUUGGCAGCGAUUACAGCCAUUAGUCUUCUUGUGUAUGACGCUACAAUCUUGGCACACUUGUAUUUGGGGAGUUUCUCCCAUUCUUCUCUGCAGAUCCUCUCAAGCUCUGUCAGGUUGGAUGGGGAGCAUCGCUGCACAGCUAUUUUCAGGUCUCUCCAGAGAUGUUAAAGUCCAGGCUCUGGCUGGGCCACUCAAUGACAUUCAAUGACAUUCAGAGACUUGUCACAAAGCCACUCCUGCAUUGUCUUGGCUGUGUGCUUAUGGGCAUUAUCCUGUUGGAAGAUGAACCUUCGCCCCAGUCUGAGGUCCAGAGCGCUCUGGAGCAGGUUUUCAUCAAGGAUCUCUCUGUACUUUGCUCCGUUCAUCUUUGCCUCGAUCCUGACUAGUCUCUCAGUACCUGCUGCAGAAAAACAUCCCCACAGCAUGAUGCUGCCACCACCAUGCUUCACCGUAGGGAUGGUGCCAGGUUCCCUCCAGACAUGAUGCUGCCACCACCAUGCUUCACCGUAGGGAUGGUGCCAGGUUUCCUCCAGACAUGAUGCUUGGAAUUCAGGCCAAAGAGUUCAAUCUUGGUUUCAUCAGACCAGAGAAUCUUGUUUCUCAUGGUCUGAGAGUCCUUAGGUGCCUUUUGGCAAAGUCCAAACGGGCUGUCAUGUGCCUUUUACUGAGGAGUGGCUUCCGUCUGGCCACUCUACCAUAAAGGCCUGAUUUGCUGGAGUGCUGCAGAGAUGGUUGUCCUUCUGGAAGGUUCUCCCAUCUCCACAGAGGAACUCUGGAGCUCUGUCAGAGUGACCAUCAGGUUCUUGGUCACCUCCCUGACCAAGGCCCUUCUCCCCCGAUUGCUCAGUUUGGCUGGGCGGCUCUAGGAAGAGCCUUGGUGGUUCCAAACGUCCUCCAUUUAAGAAUGAUGGAGGUCCCUGUGUUCUUGGGGACAUUUAAUGCUACAGACAUAUUUUGGUACCCUUCCCCAGAUCUGUGCCUCGACACAAUCCUGUCUCGUAGCUCUACGGACAAUUCCUUUGACCUCAUGGCUUGGUUUUGCCCUGACAUCUGUGGGACCUUUAUAUAAACAGGUUUGGGCCUUUCCAAAUCAUGUCAAAUCAAUGUAAUUUACCACUGGUGGACUCCAUCAAGUUGUAGAAACAUCUCAAGGAAGAUCAAUGGGAACAGGAUGAACCUGAGCUCAAUUUCGAGUCUCAUAACAAAGGGUCUGAAUACGUAUGUAAAUAAGAUAUUUCUAUAGUUUAUUUGUAAUAAAUGUGCAAACAAUUUCAAACCUGU
ensembl:lncRNA